rnacentral:rRNA from 1 species
GACGUAGGGGGCCAGCGUUGUUCGGAAUUACUGGGUGUAAAGGGUUCGUAGGCGGUGUGGCAAGUCGGGAGUGAAAUCUCUGGGCUCAACCCAGAGUCUGCUUCCGAAACUGCUGUGCUUGAGUGUGGGAGAGGCGCGUGGAAUUGCAGGUGUAGCGGUGAAAUGCGUAGAUAUCGGAAGGAACAUCAGUGGCGAAAGCGGCUUCCUGGACCAGCACCGACGUUCAGGCACGAAAGCGUGGGGAGCAAACAGG